GGGGAAUUUUGGACAAUGGGCGCAAGCCUGAUCCAGCCAUGCCGCGUGUAUGAAGAAGGCCUUCGGGUUGUAAAGUACUUUUGUCAGGGAAGAAAAGCCUGAGGAUAACACCCUCAGGUCAUGACGGUACCUGAAGAAUAAGCACCGGCUAACUACGUGCCAGCAGCCGCGGUAAUACGUAGGGUGCGAGCGUUAAUCGGAAUUACUGGGCGUAAAGCGAGCGCAGACGGUUAUUUAAGCAAGAUGUGAAAGCCCCGGGCUCAACCUGGGAACUGCGUUUUGAACUGGGUAACUAGAGUGUGUCAGAGGGGGGUAGAAUUCCACGUGUAGCAGUGAAAUGCGUAGAGAUGUGGAGGAAUACCGAUGGCGAAGGCAGCCCCCUGGGAUAACACUGACGUUCAUGCUCGAAAGCGUGGGUAGCAAAC
rnacentral:rRNA from 1 species